UGGGGAAUUUUGGACAAUGGGCGCAAGCCUGAUCCAGCCAUGCCGCGUGCGGGAAGAAGGCCUUCGGGUUGUAAACCGCUUUUGUCAGGGAAGAAAUCUUCUGAGUUAAUACCUCGGGAGGAUGACGGUACCUGAAGAAUAAGCACCGGCUAACUACGUGCCAGCAGCCGCGGUAAUACGUAGGGUGCAAGCGUUAAUCGGAAUUACUGGGCGUAAAGCGUGCGCAGGCGGUUUUGUAAGACAGAGGUGAAAUCCCCGGGCUCAACCUGGGAACUGCCUUUGUGACUGCAAGGCUUGAGUGCGGCAGAGGGGGGAUGGAAUUCCGCGUGUAGCAGUGAAAUGCGUAGAUAUGCGGAGGAACACCGAUGGCGAAGGCAAUCCCCUGGGCCUGCACUGACGCUCAUGCACGAAAGCGUGGGGAGCAAACAGGAUUAGAUACCCUGGUAGUCCACGCCCUAAACGAUGUCAACUGGUUGUUGGGGAAGGUUCCUUCCUCAGUAACGUAGCUAACGCGUGAAGUUGACCGCCUGGGGAGUACGGCCGCAAGGUUGAAACUCAAA
rnacentral:rRNA from 1 species